AGGACUAACGCUGGCGGCGUGCCUAACACAUGCAAGUCGAACGAGAGUAGCAAUACUCUAGUGGCAGACGGGUGAGUAACACGUGGUCAACCUACCUCUUAGUGGGGGAUAACUAGCCGAAAGGUUAGCUAAUACCGCAUUCGAUCUUCGAUCGGCAUCGAUUGAAGAUGAAAGGCGCAAGUCGCUAAGAGACGGGACCGCGUCCCAUUAGCUAGUUGGUAGGGUAAUGGCCUACCAAGGCGACGAUGGGUAGCUGGCUUGAGAGAGCGACCAGCCACACUGGGACUGAGACACGGCCCAGACUCCUACGGGAGGCAGCAGUGAGGAAUUUUCCGCAAUGGGCGAAAGCCUGACGGAGCGACGCCGCGUGUGGGAAGAAGGCCUUCGGGUCGUAAACCACUGUCGAAGGGGAAGAUAUUGACGGUACCCUUGGAGGAAGCCCCGGCUAACUACGCGCCAGCAGCCGC
rnacentral:rRNA from 1 species